rnacentral:rRNA from 1 species
CGCAUCUGUGCAUGCAGCAUAUCAAUAAGCGGAGGAAAAGAAACUAACAAGGAUCCCCUCAGUAACGGCGAGUGAAGCGGGAAGAGCUCAAAUUUGAAAUCUUGAAAGGUCACCUUUCACGAAUUGUAGUUUAAAGAAGUGUUUUCUGUUACGAUCGUAAUAUAAGUUCUUUGGAAUAGGACAUCACAGAGGGUGAGAAUCCCGUCUAUGAUUGCGAUUUGUAGCUUUGUGAUACACUUUCAAAGAGUCGGGUUGUUUGGGAAUGCAGCCCAAGACGGGAGGUAAAUUUCUUCUAAGGCUAAAUAUUGGCGAGAGACCGAUAGCGAACAAGUACCGUGAGGGAAAGAUGAAAAGAACUUUGAAAAGAGAGUUAAAUAGUACGUGAAAUUGUCAAAAGGGAAGCGUUUAACACCAGUGUUGUUUUCUGAAAAUCAACCUCUGUUAGCUUUAUGCAUGUUUGUUUAGACCUAAUCAGCUAUCUUGCAUGUUCUAUUGUUUGCAGUGGUGCACUUUUCAGUUUACAGGUCAACAUCAGUUUUUUUUACCGUAAAAAAGUUAAAGAAAGGUAGCUCAUGGCUCCGGUCGUGAGUGUUAUAGUCUUUUUCCUAUGCGGUAGGAGAGACUGAGGUCUGCAGUGUAGGCUAUUUGGCUAGAUACUCAGGUGCUAUGUGAUACCAUUUCAUAAACAACUUGUUGAUUAUGUUUUGUCUAUUGCAUACUCGCUUGUACUAUCAUACCUACGCUUAGGAUGUUGACGAUCAGCUGAGCGCG